rnacentral:lncRNA from 1 species
UUUUCCUCAUUGCGGAACUGUGCCUCCUCGGGGGACAGAUGCCUUUAGAUGCAACUGCUUCAAGGACCCCAAAGGCCAUUCCCACAAUAUAAGCAAUGACUUCUUUUUCCUUUUUAGUCAUGCUAAGUAGUUAGACAAUCCUUGAACUUGGGAUUCUCUGGUUCUGGUGUAAGAGCCAAUUAUGUUUUAACUACUCAUUGGGAAGAGCUGAGGGUUUCCAGUGUGUGUCCUAAAGAGAGGCUGAGGCUUGCCAAUGUGUUCCAUAAGAGAACCCAGUUGUAAAUUGGGGAUGCUAGCUGUUUUGGAAAUGUUCAUACCAUGUGAUUGUCAUUGGAAAUACCAGCCACAGUUAAAUGGAGCCAGCUGGGACCUAAAAGGCAGGCCCUGUGUGUCACCAAAGGUGGGUCCAGAGAGGUGACCCAAGUCUCCUGGGAAAGCCCCAAAGGAUUGUGGGUGAAUCCCAGACAUUGAGCAUUAAACUGCUUAUACCGUGGAGUUUGGUUUUGCCUUGAUUGUGCCCCAUUUUUCCCUGUUGAAAUUUUUUUUAAAGUACUUUAUUGAUUUUGCCAGAGCACACAGUUGAGAGAUUUUUAAACUUUAAGAGGAAAUUUUGGAGUUUUAUAGAAAGUUUAAAUGUAAAAAAAAAAAAAAAAACUGGAUUUUUUUUAAAUGAACAGCUUUUUAAAGUAUUUAAAUUUAUAAAGCUAUGGGACCUUGUAAGUUUAUAAAAUGUUUAUAUUAUUAAUAUGUGACCUUAAGAUAUAAAUAAAAGGCCUAAGAGUUAGUGCUAAACACUGAAUGCCAGAAACUAGGCUAUUCCUAUCUUGGGAAACAGCAAGGCAGUGACCUAAUCAGUCAGGCAAAGCCUAUCUACCAGAGAGAUGGGAGCCAUAUGUGCUUGUGCGAUGUGGGUCAUGUGUGCGUCACAAUCCAGAACAGUGGCAACAUGGCAGUUGUGGAGCAACA